UAGGGAAUUUUCGUCAAUGGGGAGCCCUGAACGAGCAAUGCCGCGUGUGUGAAGAAGGUCUUCGGAUCGUAAAGCACUGUUGUAAGUGAAGAAUGCCAUAUAGAGGAAAUGCUAUGUGGGUGACGGUAGCUUACCAGAAAGCCACGGCUAACUACGUGCCAGCAGCCGCGGUAAUACGUAGGUGGCAAAGCGUUAUCCGGAAUCAUUGGGCGUAAAGGGUGCGUAGGUGGCACGAUAAGUCUGAAGUAAAAGGCAACAGCUCAACUGUUGUAUGCUUUGGAAACUGUCGAGCUAGAGUGCAGAAGAGGGCGAUGGAAUUCCAUGUGUAGCGGUAAAAUGCGUAGAUAUAUGGAGGAACACCAGUGGCGAAGGCGGUCGCCUGGUCUGUAACUGACACUGAUGCACGAAAGCGUGGGGAGCAAAUAGGAUUAGAUACC
rnacentral:rRNA from 1 species